rnacentral:rRNA from 1 species
AGUGAACGCUGGCGGUAGGCCUAACACAUGCAAGUCGAACGGCAGCACAGUAAGAGCUUGCUCUUACGGGUGGCGAGUGGCGGACGGGUGAGGAAUACAUCGGAAUCUACUUUUUCGUGGGGGAUAACGUAGGGAAACUUACGCUAAUACCGCAUACGCCCUACGGGUGAAAGCAGGGGAUCUUCGGACCUUGCGCGAUUGAAUGAGCCGAUGUAGGAUUAGCUAGUUGGCGGGGUAAAGGCCCACCAAGGCGACGAACCGUAGCUGGUCUGAGAGGAUGAUCAGCCACACUGGAACUGAGACACGGUCCAGACUCCUACGGGAGGCAGCAGUGGGGAAUAUUGGACAAAGGGCGCAAGCCUGAUCCAGCCAUACCGCGUGGGUGAAGAAGGCCUUCGGGUUGUAAAGCCCUUUUGUUGGGAAAGAAAAGCAGCAGGUUAAUACCCCGCUGUUCUGACGGUACCCAAAGAAUAAGCACCGGCUAACUUCGUG